GUUGGGCGGACCCCCCUCGGCCGCCUGGUCGUGCAUUGCUCUGGUCCUCCUGCCGCCACGUCGCCUGUGGUACCGCCGAACACAAACCCUAUCCCAAGUCCUAACCUAGUUGUUGCUGCUUACUCCUCUCAGUCGUGGUCUCGUGCCCUACUUAUCCCUUUGCGUGCCAACGAGGCCCUGCGUCCCUGAACUAGGGUUUAGGCCCCAGGUCCAUGGAAUUCAGGGCAGAUGGCUUCGGGUGGCCGCCACCGCAAGGCAAUGUCGCCGAAUCAUUGCCGCCGCCGAUGGGAGACCGCGGGGAGGUCGCCUCGUCCCACUUCGAUUCGUCUCGUGCCCUAAGAUUGAUGAGAGAGCUUGACACAAAUGUCACAGAAGAUUUGACUAUGUUGAUGCCAAAUUUGUUGUCAUGUUUGAAGCAUGAUGAUCCUGCGAUUGUUAAGCAAGCUAUAGCCAAUGGAACAAAUUUAUUUGUUGUUGUAUUAUAAGAGAUGAAACUACAUGUGGUUAUUUGCAAACAGAUAUUUAUUAAUGAAUAAAUCCACUAUUGUUGUAACUA